rnacentral:antisense_RNA from 1 species
UUGGCCGUGAACUGCCAGUAGUCUUGGUCCUCGAGCAGCGCUUCGUAGCUGAAGUGAUCGCCGUCGGCCAGCGUGUCCAACACGGUCAUGUCGCCGUAUUUACCGGCGCCGAUCAUGUUGACCUUGCCGUGGGCGAUGAGACACACCGAGUCGGCCGGCUUGCCCAAUUCCACGAUGACGUCGCCCGGCUUCAGAUCCCGCUGAACGAAGCGGUCGGCCAGGGCCUGCAGCACCUCGAGGUUGUCGAAGCCGCGGAGCACCGGCAGCUCGCACAGCUCUUGCGGCACGACCUGGACCUUGGCCCCGAUGUUGGUGAAUGUCACCCGGCCGUCACCCACGGCGUAGCUCAGCCGUCGGUUCACGCGAUACACGCCGCCUUGCACAUCGACCCAAUGCAGCAGCUUGAGCAGCCACCGCGAGCUGAUGCCUUGCAUCUGCGGGGUUGACUUGGUCGUGGUCGCCAGGUUGCGGGCGGCCGACGUAUCCAAGCUCGUAUGUUGG